UACAGAGGUGGCAAGCGUUGUUCGGAAUUACUGGGCGUAAAGGGCGCGUAGGCGGCCUUCUAAGUCAGACGUGAAAUCUCCCGGCUCAACUGGGAAACUGCAUCGGAAACUGAUCGGCUUGAAGAUGGGAGAGGGUAGUGGAAUUCCCGGUGUAGUGGUGAAAUGCGUAGAUAUCGGGAGGAACACCAGUGGCGAAGGCGACUACCUGGCCCAUUCUUGACGCUGAGGCGCGAAAGCUAGGGGAGCGAACGGG
rnacentral:rRNA from 1 species